UACGGAGGGUGCAAGCGUUAUUCGGAUUUACUGGGCGUAAAGGGCGCGCAGGCGGCUUUGCAAGUCAGUUGUGAAAGCCCGGGGCUUAACCCCGGAAGUGCGACUGAAACUGCGGGGCUUGAGUAUGGUAGAGGGAAGUGGAAUUCCUGGUGUAGCGGUGAAAUGCGUAGAUAUCAGGAGGAACACCGGUGGCGAAGGCGGCUUCCUGGACCAAUACUGACGCUGAGGCGCGAAGGUGUGGGGAGCAAACAGG
rnacentral:rRNA from 1 species